UACGUAGGGUGCAAGCGUUAAUCGGAAUUACUGGGCGUAAAGGGCGCGUAGGCGGCCUGGCAAGUGGAAGGUGAAAUCCCUCGGCUUAACCGAGGAACUGCCCUCCAAACUGCUUGGCUUGAGUCCGGGAGAGGUGAGUGGAAUUCCCAGUGUAGCGGUGAAAUGCGUAGAUAUUGGGAGGAACACCAGUGGCGAAGGCGGCUCACUGGCCCGGUACUGACGCUGAGGUGCGAAAGCGUGGGGAGCAAACAGG
rnacentral:rRNA from 1 species